rnacentral:rRNA from 1 species
AGUGAACGCUGGCGGUAGGCCUAACACAUGCAAGUCGAACGGCAGCACAGUAAGAGCUUGCUCUUACGGGUGGCGAGUGGCGGACGGGUGAGGAAUACAUCGGAAUCUACUUUUUCGUGGGGGAUAACGUAGGGAAACUUACGCUAAUACCGCAUACGACCUACGGGUGAAAGCAGGGGAUCUUCGGACCUUGCGCGAUUGAAUGAGCCGAUGUCGGAUUAGCUAGUUGGCGGGGUGAAGGCCCACCAAGGCGACGAUCCGUAGCUGGUCUGAGAGGAUGAUCAGCCACACUGGAACUGAGACACGGUCCAGACUCCUACGGGAGGCAGAAGUGGGGAAUAUUGGACAAUGGGCGCAAGCCUGAUCCAGCCAUACCGCGUGGGUGAAGAAGGCCUUCGGGUUGUAAAGCCCUUUUGUUGGGAAAGAAAAGCAGCAGGUUAAUACCCCGCUGUUCUGACGGUACCCAAAGAAUAAGCACCGGCUAACUUCGU